rnacentral:rRNA from 1 species
GUUAAUCGGAAUUACUGGGCGUAAAGCGUGCGCAGGCGGUGAUGUAAGACAGAUGGGAAAUCCCCGGGCUCAACCUGGGAACUGCAUUUGUGACUGCAUCGCUGGAGUACGGCAGAGGGGGAUGGAAUUCCGCGUGUAGCAGUGAAAUGCGUAGAUAUGCGGAGGAACACCGAUGGCGAAGGCAAUCCCCUGGGCCUGUACUGACGCUCAUGCACGAAAGCGUGGGGAGCAAACAGG